UCAGGAUAGCUGGAGCUCG
rnacentral:snRNA from 1 species